GCAAACUUGGUCAUUUAGAGGAAGUAAAAGUCGUAACAAGGUCUCCGUAGGUGAACCUGCGGAGGGAUCAUCAUUGAAUUUAAACUUGAACAAAAGGUUGGCUGUUUUUUGGGGGAGAGGAAUUGCUGGAGAGGAAAACUCUGCAUUUCUCCCUUGAAUGUGGUCUCCUUUUGGACAAACAACCAAUUUACAUGACUAGGAGAAAAACAUUGACUUGGAUGAUGAUGUUGUGUGGGGAGGGGGGAUAUAUAUAUGAAAAGUUCUUGUCUGAGACAAGUGGCUUGCUGAUUUGGAGCACAAUAACAACUGAUACAACUUUCAACAACGGAUCUCUUGGCUCUCACAUCGAUGAAGAACGCAGC
rnacentral:misc_RNA from 1 species